GGGCGGGGGACAGGGACAGGAACAGGGGGCGUCCCCGGGGCCACGGAAGCCGCGAGACGCCCAGGAGCUGCUGCGCGCGGGGUGACCGGGACAACUGUGCCUGUCCACCCGAGGCACACGUCUCUGGAAAUUUAAAGGAUAAGGAAGAGAGUUCACCGACUCUGUUAAUUGCCCGGAGCCCACCUGCGCCGGACACCCGUGUGCACCGGGGUGGCAGCUGUGCGACGCACUUGUGAGGCUCUGAGGGCGGAGCAGCUGGAGACGGCGACAGGGGACACCUGCUCCCGCAGACCCUCCUGCACCUGAGCACCGGCCGGGGAGUGGCCGCCUCGUGCUCUCUCGGACUGUGCUGUUCCGUGGUGUUCCAGACACGGACGCCCGCGGCCAAAUUCCUCUCUCGUGCGUUAUAAGCCAGAGGGCAGCGAGCUGAUCCCACAGCCUGAAGUCCUGCCUGCCUGCUUCACACACCAGAAAAUUCUAAAGAUGUCUCAAAACCUGACAACUGCUUGAACUCUCUGAAAGAUACUUUUUGUCCCUCCUGACUCUUGUGUCAAUUUCCCCUUGAAACUGCCUACUCUGCCACCCUACCUUAGAGAGCUUCUCUCUCUCUCUCUCUCUCUCUCUCUCUCUCUCUCUCUCUCUCUCUCUCUCUCAUUGCCAAUUAGAGUUACGAUUAUUUGUAUUAAACAUCACACACAUCAUUCACAAUUCACACAAGUCUGACAAACAAACAAACAAACAAACAAACAAAACAGAACGUGUGGCGGCGGGUGGCACAUGCCUUUAGUCCCAGCUCUUCACUAGAGAGGCAAAGGCAGGGGGAUCUCUGUGAGUUGGAGACCAGCCUAAUCUACAGAGCACCAGGACACCCGGGGAGACACAGAGAAAGACUGUCUCGAAAAAAAAAAAAAAAAGCAAAAAUCUCUCAAGUAAACAUGGCUUACUUGCUGGCCCCUCUCAGAAGCAGAACAGGGUGUCUGAAGACACGGGCAGUUUUCUGUGAUCAAUUUCUGUCACUAACUUCUCGAGUGUGGCUUCCACAUACUCCAUCUUACCCAGGCACACAUACACACUCCCUUAACCCUGGAGGAAAACACCUAAAACUAACAUUGAGACUCUCCCCAAAAAAGACAAUGAAUGAAGUCUUCCCAGAUGUUGCCAGAGAACCGUCUAAAGCGUCUGGAGAGAGCUCUGUAGUCAUGAGGCAGAUCUGUUUACUGUCUGGACUGCAAUGCACCAAUGGAAAGACAGAGAAGCCUGAAGAACGUGUCCAAGGUCAAGGUCGCUGGGAUACUGAACUGCAGAGCUGGGGCUCAGCACCUUUUCUGUAACACUGCAUCGCUCUUCUGUAACACUGUAUCGCUGUUCUGUAUCAUUGUAACACUGUCCUCUACUCAAAGGGUCGCCUACCUUUCAGGCUGAUGUGAUCAUUCCUCUGCCGAAGGGAUCACUUCAGGUGUGCCGCCCUUCCCGGUGUGUACACCUCUAGAUGGUAAAGUUCGGUGCUCUCAGAGCCGGUGAGGCUGGGAGACACAGACCUCCUUCUCUGCUGCAAGGAGAAGCGCAGACUGCUGCAGUUUCUGCAUGGGAGCUGGAAUUGUCUAUUAACAUUGCAACAAGGGUGUUGGGGAGGAAGCGGAAGGCACAGGGAAGGGCAGUGAGGAGGUGAGUAUGGGCAAGGGGUGAAGAUAGACAAGUAUGAAAACGCUGUAGUCAAACCCAUUGUGUUGUAUACUAACUAAAAAUAUGUAUUUUUGGAUUUCAACACAGAAAACUGAUUUGGCAGUUUCUCUCCUAGGAAUAUAUAUAUAUAUCCCCAAUCACAGCUGUACUUUCAAGGGAAUUGACUAGUAUUGUUCAUAAUAGCAAAAGCUAGACACAGCCAAGUGAGCAGUGGGAAACGGUGUGUAGAAAGAAGGUUCCUGCUCCUGACUGCGCAGCUCUCUACAGGGAGGUCUCUGCCGGCUCAGGAGAGAUUUCCUGAAAGAAAGUGCUAGUCUCUCAAGAGAAUUAUGUCAUGACUAAAUGUCCUAAAUAGAACAUCUCUGGGGAAAUUAUACAAGCAAGUAAUUAUCAGCGGUGAGCACCUCUACAAAUUGGGGCGAGGCAAGAACCUUUUCCUUGUGUGGUCUUUUAUAUUAUUUAAACAUUUGGAAUAAAAUUUACUGAAAUGUAUACAACUUGAAUUUUCACUUUGCAACAUUGCUUUUUUAAUAGCAGUGAAAUUUAACGAUUUCACUGUUCAGCCAUUAACAAAGUAAAGUCAUUAAUAAGAUGGGUUUUUUUAAAUUUAUUUUUGUUUUUGUUUUUUGAGACAGGGUUUCUCUGUGUAGCCCUGGC
rnacentral:lncRNA from 1 species